AAUGUAUUUCAUACAACGUUAAUGCAUUGGAACCCAUUACAAUUCCAUAAUUAAGCAUGCCUGGGGUAGAGUAGUACUGGGAUGGGUGACCUCCCAAGAAGUCUUAGUGUUUUACAUGC
rnacentral:rRNA from 1 species